GGAGGUUAAAUUCCUCCCUAGUG
rnacentral:tRNA from 2 species